rfam:Aspergillus flavus NRRL3357 scf_1106286417600 genomic scaffold, whole genome shotgun sequence.
GUACAAUGAUGAUUUUCUUUUAUUUUAAUCACGACGGUCAACAUAAUCAAAUACAUUGAUGACCACCGCCUGUGACAGGGCAUUUAAUCUGAAA